rnacentral:lncRNA from 1 species
AGACUUGCAUGUUACUAUUCAGAGUCAGGAUAUUCUAUAUAGUGUGAAUAUUCCCUCAAAAAGCUUGAUUCUAGUGCAAAAUGAUCAAUAUGUAAAAUCCAAACAAGUAAUUGCGGAGAUUCGUGCCGGAACGUCCACUUUACAUUUUAAAGAAAGGGUACAAAAACAUAUUUAUUCCGAAUCAGACGGAGAAAUGCACUGGAGUACUGAUGUUUAUCAUGCGCCCGAAUAUCAAUAUGGUAAUCCUCGUCGAUUACCAAAAACAAGUCAUUUAUGGAUAUUGUCAGUAAGUAUGUGCAGAUCCAGUAUAGGGUCUUUUUCACUCCACAAGGAUCAAGAUCAAAUGAAUACUUAUGGUAAAAAAGAUAGGGAAAUUCUUGAUUCUUCAACGUCGAAUCGAAUCAUGUCCAACGGCCUUUGGAAUUUUAUCUAUCCUUCUAUUUUUUAAGAUAGUUCGGAUUUGUUGGCGAAAAAGCGAAGAAAUAGGCUCACCAUUCCAUUACAAUAUCAUCAAGAACAAGAGAAAGAAUUCAUAUCCUGUUUGGGGAUUUCGAUUGAAAUACCCUUUAUGGGUGUUUUACGUAGAAAUACUAUUUUUGCUUAUUUUGAUGAUCCACAAUACAGAAAAGAUAAAAAGGGUUCAGGAAUUGUUAAAUUUAGAUAUAGGACCCUAGAAUACGAAUAUAGGAUUCGAGAGGAAUACUCAGAAGACAAAUAUGAGACCCUAGAAGACGAAUAUAGGAUUCGAGAGGAAUACUCAGAAGACAAAUAUGAGACCCUAGAAGAUGAAUAUGAAACCCUAUAUAAAAAUGAGAUCCUACAGGACGAAUACGAAUAUGAAACCCUAGAAGACGCAUAUGGGAGGCCAGAGAACGAAUAUGGGAAUCUAGAGAACGAAUAUAGGACUUUAGAGAAAGAUUCAGAAGAUGAAUAUAGGAGCCCAGAGAGCAAAUAUAGGACCCGAGAGGACAAAUAUGGAACUCUAGAGGAAGACUCAGAAGACGAAUACGAGAGCCUGGGUGAAAGCUCAGAGGACAAAUAUGGGAGGACUUUAGAGGAAGACUCAGAAGAAGACUCAGAAGACGAAUAUGAGAGCCCAGAGGAGGAUUCCAUCUUCAAAAAGGAGGAUUUGAUUGAGCAUCAAGGAACAAAAGAAUUUAGUAUAAAAUACCAAAAAGAAGUAGAUCGGUUUUUUUUCAUUCUUCAAGAACUGCAUAUCUUGCCGAGAUCUUCAUCCCUAAAGGUAUGCGACAAUAGUAUUAUUGGGGUGGAUACACAACUCACAAAAAAUACAAGAAGUCGACUAGGUGGACUGGUCCGAGUGAAGAGAAAAAAAAGCCAUACGGAACUCAAAAUAUUUUCCGGAGAUAUUCAUUUUCCUGAAGAGGCGGAUAAGAUAUUAGGUGGCUGUUUGAUACCACCAGAAAGACAAAAAAAAGAUUCUAAGGAAUCAAAAAAAAAGGCAAAAUUGGGUCUAUGUUCAACGGAAAAAAAUUAUCAAGAGCAAGGAAAAGUAUUUUGUUUCGGUUCGCCCUGCAGUCGCAUAUGAAAUCGACGGAGGGAUAAAUUUAGCAACACUUUUCCCACAGGAUCUCUUGCAAGAAGAAGAUAAUCUCCAACUUCGACUUGUCAAUUUUAUUUGUCAUGAAAAUAGCAAGUUAACUCAAAGAAUUUAUCAAACAACUAGUCAAUUUGUUAGAACUUGCUUAGUAGUGAAUUGGGAACAAGAAGAAAAAGAGGAGGCUUGUAACAUCCCAGAAUUUUCCAAUUCUGGAAUGUUAAAUAAAAUAAUUAUUUUAAUGAAAAUAUUGGCUUCGAAAAUAUUUUGGUUGUGAAUUUCCGAAGAAUUUGAAAUUUUUAGGACUUAUUUAAAUUUUUCCACACCAUGUUUGAAUAAUCAACAAAAGAGUGGAUUAAUUUGACUAUCCAAAUUAUACAACAUGGUUGGGACAUUUACAUAAGUUCAAAGUAUUCUAUUUGGAAUCAUUUGCAUAUUAUGAUUCUAGCCGAACUAUUAUUCGCAUCUAGUAAAUCCUAUUUUCUUUCUGAAGGAUUUAUUAACACACUAAGAUUCCAAUUUGGAUGCCAUGACCAUUUGAGAGCAUCGUUGGAAUAUUUAAAUCGAUUAGAAAUGUUCUCCAACAUUUAUCUAAAUGAUAAAGAGAGGGAAUAAUGUGACUUUCCCAAGUAUAUGAUUGGAAAACAUAUAUAAUGAUUCACCUAUGUUUCUCUCGAUAUUUGCUUUGGCGUGUUCAUUUUGUUUUCGAGAAGAAACUAUCAAAUAUUCGAGAAGAGGAUAACGUGACAUCCUUGUGUGCAAAUGUUAUUCCAACAUUUAUUCCGUCGUUGAGAGUGGGAUAACGUGACUUCCCAAAUAUAUAUAUAGUUGGAAACAUCUGCGAUGGUUUACAUGAUUUGAGAUUUGGUGUUAUAAAGCUAUUAAGGAAUUUUAUUGAACCGUAUAAUUAUUGUGAGAUCUUCUUUGGAGUUCAACCCAAUGGGGUAUUUAGCUAAAAAAAGAUUUUAGUGCAAAGUAUGCCAACCCAAUAUGUUUAUUGGAGUUUAAACUAAUUCAUGAAACAAAUGUUUCAUAAUAGAUUUCAAAACCUAUUUUAGGUAUUACUUAUAAAGCUCUAAUGACAUUUAUAUAAGCAAAAGUAUUUUUUUACUUAUUUUAUUUUUGAAAAGAUUCAAGUCCCAAAAGCUCACACUUUGGAUAAUUUGAAUUUACAAAUUUUCUGAAAUUUAUUUGGACUUAUUUGGAGUUAGGAAUCAAAAGUUAUUAAAAAAAAAAGAAAAAAAAAAGAGAAUGUACCGACCCAACUGGGCCGGCCCAUCUCCACCGAACGCCCCAGCCAGGCAGGAGCUCGUGCUUCCUCCUCCUCUGCACGUAAGAAAUCCUUUCUUUCCAUAUUUUCUUCCUUCAAUUUCUUUCCUUUCCGCACGUCUCUCUCCAAAAGGAAACCACCCCAUCAAUCCUCACCAUCUCGGGAAUCCAUUCAGGAAAUCAAUUUGAAGUUUCCUCUAAUUAUCGCAGUUUCCAAAAUAGGUGCCCCGAAUGUCGGCCGUCGACAUCCACGCCCGAUCUCCCUCCUCGGCCACUAUAAAAGGAUUCCACGCGCGUCACUUUGAGCUUUUGCCUCUCUUCUCCCAUUCCCAUGUAGAAAGUUUGGCCUCAAAACCUCUGUACGGCCGGCUAUGUCGACGUCUUCCUCCGCCGGUCACCGCCACAAUUGUUGCCGGUGAGAUCACCCCGAAUCUCCGUUCUUCGAUUCUUUUCACCGGUAGACUCAUGUGACCGUUACCUACCUUUUUGACAAGGUUUCGUGACCUCUUGAUGCCGUUGGCCGCGUCGUCCCCGACCUCAUGCCAAAGCCGCGCCCGGAGCUCCGCCCGUCGCCAUCCGGAGAUGCUACGACCGUGCAAGCCGCGUCACGGUGUCCGCCUCAACGUCUUACACCGCCCCACCGAACCCUAGGUCAACAUCAUCGCCGUCCUUCUUCAACUCCGGCGAACUCCGUGUCUUUUCCGGUGAGCAACUUUUCAGCCGCAGCAGUUUUGAUUAGCCAUGUUUGGAAGCCCAUAUCUUUUGAUCAGUGUAUCAUUUUUGUCCGAAUCUUUCUGUUGUAGUUAGAGCACGUCCACCUCUCUAUACCAGACUAGAUUUUAUACCCCGUCUCCAUGAUCUUCAGUACGGCAUCUUCGUUGGAAAUUGCUAUUCACAGUAUGCUGUUUCUGGAUUAGCCACCUUUCGAAAUUCAUAUAAAUUGUUCAAUUGAUCCGUUUGGUUCCAAACCUUCUGUUUUUCAUCAAUUAGAUCAUUUUUUACACAUUAGUGUACACCUUGCACAACUUAAGAUUCAUCUACAGAGGUGCAUCUUCAAUCAAAAGUCGUAUCUGUUAACACUGUCACAUCAGUUAGCUAUCUUCCGGAGCCUAUAUCUUGUGAUCCAUUACUUGAAAUUAGAUGAUUCUUUCUUUCAUGUCAAGAUCAAGUCCAAAUAUAAAUUCUAGACCUAUUUUAACAACUUUCCAAGUUCAUCCACACUAGUGCGUCGUCGUUGCAAAAUAGUACCUCCAGCAGUUUUCCACACUUGGCCAAUUCUAAGCCUUUAGUUACAGAAAUUUUGUUAUAGAUUAGCCUGUUUUUUAAGCCUGUAUCUUUUGACUCACAACACCUAUUUAGGUUAAACCAGUGUCUUUUCAAAGAUUGUUAGAUCUAGUUUAAUUUAUACCAUUGGUACUUUGUCUUUUGAAGCCAUUAGCACCAGUACAUUUUCAGUAGAAGUUAGUAUCUUUAAUCUGUCAGAAUCAGACUAGCCAGCUUUGCAAGCCAGUAGGUAUUUCUCUGUAGAUCCUUUUGGGAUGAAACUUGUUGGGUUAGCAAGUGAAAUCUUAAUACUAUACAGUAGUAUACUUUUCAUCUCAUGUUCUGUCAUUUAGCACCAUUUGACAAACAGCCAAAGUAUCUAAGUUAUAACAGUUCAUAUAGACUUAAAUUCCAGACUUAGCCACAUUAGUCCAUGCCCAACCAAACUUUGUAUCUGUUAACACUAUCUUAUUGAUUAGCAAUGUUCCAAAGCCCAUACAUGUUGAUCCAUAUUUCCAAACCAGUUCAUUCUUUCUGUGGUGACUAGAGUACACCAAACUCUAAUUUCUGGACCACUUUGUACACCUUCCAAAGUUAAUUUACAGUAACCCAUGACCCCUAGAAAAUUGUAUCUGUUAGCAAACAUUGACUUCACCGUUUCAACUCCGAUAGAACCCAAGCCUUGUUCCUACCUCUUAGAUCUAUGCCUAGGAUAGCCUAACAGUAGUUAGGUACUGUUUAAUUUAAACUUCGUAUAUUGUUUUGGUUCUUUAUUUGGAGUUAUGAUUUGGAGUUCUCGAAUAGUCAUUUAUUAUUGCUUUUCGUUCUUCGCGAUAGAUUAUACGGAGUGCGGUAACUGUGAGUAUCGAAAAGAAGAAGAAUACAAAGACACUAAUCAGGCAAGUUCACUUUGAUCAUUCACCUAUUACUUUAUUAUGCUCUAGAUUUUAUUAGUUGCAUUGUUAGGAUUAUUAUUGUAUCUAUGCUAGCUAUGAUCGGUCCUACUAGUAUUGGAUACCUUUGUCAUGACCCUCACCACCAAUUGCCAUCGUAGUAGUAAAAUGCUAUGCUAUGAUAAUAUACGAGGGUGGUAUUAUUACAAAUAUGGUACUAUUGAAUUACAAUAUGAUUUUCCUAGUGUAUGGCAAAACAAGUAAUUCAAUGAAUCGUCCUGGGUGGGCUGCUUUGAGUUUUUGGAUGUCGUGAUGUUAGGUCCAUUUCUAUGGGGCCCGCUGAGUCGUCUCUCCGUGUGAUUCGGGAGCGUCCAUGGUCGUCUCCCCGUGCGAUUCGGGGAGCGCCUGCGUCACAAUGUGGGAUGCCACCCGGGAUAACCAGAGACUGGACUAGUUUCCUGUUUAGUAACUUCCAGUAGAACCACAUGGUAUUAUGGGCUCUGCCAGGAUGGAUGUAAGAAAUAUGAACCUGGAUCCGAGGUGACAUCGGUAUGUAGCAGUGUAGGUUGGAACGCGUCCCUCAGGUGGUUUGGGGGAAUAUGUUCUGAAAAUUCCUGUAAUCGAUGCCGUUGCUACUCUACCCUGAGGACAGCAAGGGAUUAACACGUCGAUUUCUUGUGGGUAAAGUGUACCACCUCUCGAGAGUGUCAAACUAAGUACUUAGCCGUGUCCCCGGUUACGGACAAUUAUGAGCAACUAGAUAUUGGAGCUGUAAGGAAGGUCUCACUCAUUCCAAUUUCCUAAUAAAAUGAAUGGUUUGAACUGGGUAGGAGCAUUGAUGUUUCUACUCAAUGUGCCUAGGUUAAUAGGAGCAUGGGUGUUUCUACCCCGUGUCCAAUAGAAUUAAAACUAUUUGUUUAAAAAAUGAUAUGAUUGAACAAUGAUGCUUUUAUGCAAAUAGCCAAAACCCCACCUUGCCAAAUAUUGCAUGCACUUGAUAGGUUCUGUUAUAACCCUUUGGUGAACUUGCCAAUACAUUCAAUGUAUUGACCCCCUAGUGGCUGCAACGUUUAAAUGUUGCAGGUGAACCAGGUGAAGAGUGAGGUACGAAUUGUUAGGGUUGCGAGUUUACAUUCCAACAUGUUUCGACCGUGGAGUUGUUAUGGGGCUGCAAGAUUUUAUUUUCUUUUGAGAUAACCCAUGAGGUUAUGCAAUAUGUAAGUUACUACUAAAUUCUGGAUCAAUGCGAUGUAAUAUACUUUUGACCUUUGUAUCUUGAUAUUACAUCGUGAAACUGUGUGUGCUAGCGAGUCGAUCCAGGGACUAGCACAGUAAGCACAGAGAUCGAACCCUUGGUGAAGGGGGAUCGCUUCAAGGCUGGUGCUUCCCUUGUCAGGGUAAGAGCGAAUGAUCUUAUUCGCCAUUUCCUAAGAAUUGAGUUAGUCAAGUCCACUAUUUCAUAUACACGAAAAAGGUAUGAUAGGACAAGUGUAGGGCCGAUCCCCCCUAAUGGGUUAGAUCGCACCAAUAAAAAUUCCUUUUAUUCUAAGGCAAAGAUUGAAUCACUUAGCCAAUAUCAAGAAACUAUUGGCACCUUGUUGAAUCGAAAUAAAGACUACCAAUCUUUGAUGAUUUUGUCAGCAUCCAACUGUUUUCGAAUUGGUUUAUUCAAGAAUUCAAAACAUCCCAAUGCAAUAAAAGAAUCGAAUCCUAAAAUUCCUAUUGGAGAUAUUUUCGGGCCCCUAGGGGCUAUUGUACCUAGUAUAUUGAAUUUUCCUUCAUCUUACUAUUUACUAACGCAUAAUCAGAGCCGGUUAAAAAAAUAUUUGUUGCUUGACAAUUUACAACAAACCUUCCAAGUACUUCAAGGACUUAAGUAUUCUUUAAUAGAUGAAAAUCAAAGGAUUUGUAAUUUCGAUAGUAAUCUCCUGUUGGAUACAUUCUUUUUGAAUUAUCACUUUGCCCAUCAUGAUUCUUGGGAGAACACAUUGGCAAUAAUUCACCUUGGACAAUUUAUUUGUGAAAAUGUAUGUUUAUUUAAAUCGCACAUAAAAAAAUCAGGUCAAAUUUUCAUUGUUAAUAUGGAUUCCUUUAUUAUAAGAGAAGCUAAACCUUAUUUGGCCACUACAGGGGCAACUGUUAAUGGUCAUUAUGGAGAAAUCCUUUACAAGGGAGAUAGGUUAGUUACGUUUAUAUAUGAAAAAUCGAGAUCGAGUGACAUAACGCAAGGUCUUCCAAAAGUGGAACAAAUCUUUGAAGCGCGUUCAAUCGAUUCAUUAUCUCCGAAUCUGGAAAGGAGAAUUGAGGAUUGGAAUGAGCGUAUACCAAGAAUUCUUGGUGUCCCUUGGGGAUUCUUGAUUGGAGCUGAGCUAACCAUAGCCCAAAGUCGUAUCUCUUUGGUUAAUAAAAUCCAAAAGGUUUAUCGAUCCCAAGGGGUACAGAUCCAUAAUAGACAUAUAGAGAUUAUUAUACGCCAAGUAACAUCAAAAGUGCGGGUUUCCGAAGAUGGAAUGUCUAAUGUUUUUUCACCUGGGGAAUUAAUUGGACUAUUACGAGCGGAACGAGCAGGACGAGCUUUGGAUGAAUCGAUCUAUUAUCGAGCAAUUUUAUUGGGAAUAACAAGAGCUUCCCUUAAUACCCAAAGUUUCAUAUCGAAGCAAGUUUUCAAGAAACUACUCGGGUUUUAGCAAAAGCUGCCCUACGAGGUCGUAUUGAUUGGUUGAAAGGCCUGAAAGAAAACGUAGUUCUGGGGGGAAUUAUACCUGAUAGCAAAACCGGUAGCGACUUGUACUAGAAAGCAAGUAAGUGUAAUUCCCCCUAAACAAUAAAAUAUGUUGACAUGAGGAGGAACAUAUUUACUAGUUAUAUCAUCUGCAAUUGCCUGAAUCUCAAGACGUUCCUCAAACCAAUCAUAUACUUUAUUGAGAUAGGUAACUAACCUAAGUCCCCCUCUAAGAACCGUAUAUGAAAAUUUCAUCUCGUACGGCUCAAGCAGAAACACACAAAUUUUCAACGAAUAUUAGAAAAAAGGUUCAAAACUUCAUCAGCCACUGGAUUGGGUCGAUUUGCCUUGAAGAUAUGAAAUAAGAAAAAUCCGGAAUAUCCUCUUUGUAAUGCUAAUGCCAAAAAAUCUCAAGUUGGUUCAUCUGUCUUUCUUCCUUUCCCUUAUAUUGGUCAUUAGAGGCCUCUUGACUUUUCUCUUCCCUAUUUUUGAUUUAUUUUUUUGUGUGUAAUGCGGAUUUACUCUUUAUUUACUAGUAAAUAAAGAAAGCCAAAAUUCUAGUAGUUUUCUGAUAGAAAUUAUCUUGUUGCGAUCCUAUGAAUCAGUUCAAUUUAAACCUUAGAUUCAUACUAGAGCCACGAUGAUUGAGUCUCAAGCUAAACAAAAGGCAAGGGUUCUUCGAAUAAGAACCACUUGAUAAUCAUUUAUGGAAUCCGUGUAAUGACUCGACAAAAUGGAGAGAAAAUAAAGUUGUCUUUUGGGCAAACAAAAUUGGAAGGAAGAAAAUUUCUUUUCUUUUUAUUAAGAACUACUUCAAUUUUUUCAGUCUGGUUGCGAGGUCUGAAUAGUGGGUAUGAAUCAUAGUUCCAUUUUUUUUUGAUCCACUCUAUCUAUUUCGUGUUCCAGAUACUAGAAUAAAUAAUAUCUGACGAAUUAGAAUCAUAUUGAUAGAGAUAACAGGCCCUUUCUAUGUAUUAUCAAUAGGAUCAAUUUUAACAAGUCACACACUCAUAUUCCAGAGAUACCGAAACAAAAAAAUUCCGCAGUCGAACUACCAGAAUGUCUAGAAAUGUAGAGCUUAAACUAGAAAGGCUUUUUUUGGAUGGAAAAACUACGACUUCGUACUUUUAGUUAGUAGAAACCUAAUAGGUUAAAAUUCCGUCCAAUAAAACAGAAGAAUUAUAAAUUUCUAAAAUGAUAGAUAGGAAUAUCGCGAAUAAAGCCAUUGCGACCCCCAUAAAAGGAGUAGUCCCCCAACCUGGAGCUACUUUCCCAUAUUCCGAAUUCAAGGGUUUCAAUAAACUACCUGCACCAGUUCGUCUUGGUUUAGGUUUAGAACUAUCUUCAACGGUUUGCUGUAACAUCCCAAUUUUUAAAAUUCUUCAUAUGCAUUGCAUAUCAUAAGCAUCAUGUCACCCUUGCAUCUGAUCACUUUCAAAACCCUAAAGUUUUCCCAGAAAACCCUUUUGCAAAAAUGCUUUUAUUUGAUUUUGGGCUUUGAUCUUGCUCUUGAGUAUUUGCAUUUUUAACCCAUGAGGGUAUUGUGGUAAAAAGGGAUUUAAUGCAUAUAUAUAGAGCUAUCCCAUAAAUUGGCUUUUGAAAGUAUUUUUGAAAAAAAUAAUUUGAUUCGAUAGCCUAAGGGUCCUAAAAGCCAUUUUAUAGGCAAAUGUAUUUUUAAAUAUUUUAUUUUGAGAAAAUUCUUGCUCCAAAAGUUAGAUCAUAUGAAAAUAUGAUUUUACAAAUUUUGUUGCAUUUUAUUUGGAGUGAUUUGGAGCUCCGAAUCAAUUUUGAGGUUCAAAAACAGGAAAUAGAUAAAAGAAAAGGAAAAACCGGACCGAACCGGUCAAACCGGACCGGACCGGAUCGAACCGGACCGGGCCGGAUCGAACGGAACCGGCCCAGCCCGAACCGGCCGGCCACCCUCACUGACCGGUGGACCCCGCACGUCAUCUUCUCCAACUGUCUCCUCCGAAACCCCGCGCGUCAUAUCGAAGCCCCCGAACUCCUCUACCAAUUCCCCCAAACCCCACGCCCAAUUUCGCUUCGGUUUGAGAUUAAUUUCUCGCCGGAGUUACUCUCUGCCACCGCCGUUCAUCGCAAUUUGUCGCCGCUCCGGUGAGUUUCUCCCAUCCCCGGCCACCCUCCCGUUCUCCCCUCUCCCUAGCACAUCCGGUGACGCGCUCGGUUUCGAGGUUGGACGCCGUCCGCGCACCGCCGUUCACCGCCCGUCUUCCCCGCCUCCGGCCGCCUGCGCGCCCCAAGCCGCCCGAGCUCCCGCGCCCGUGCGCCGCCUGCCUGCGCGACCCGCCCACGCUGCCCCGCUCCGCCUUCUGCCUGCCCGCGCUACCCCCGCGCCGUCCGCGUGCUCCCGCGCCCCGCACCGCCCGCCCGCCCCGCGCGCGCCGCCCCAGCCGCCCGCCCGCCCCGCGCGCGCCCCGCUCCGCCUCCGGCCGCCCGCUCCGGCCGCCUGCCCGCGCCGCCUGCCGCCGGCCGGAACCCUAGCCCCGGGCCAACCCCGCCAUGCUACGUGGCAGUGCUUUUUAUUUUAUUUUAUUUUCGGCCGUAGUAGAUAAUGCAUAUUUGCAGAAAAACCCCUGUAACUUCAAAGCCUCAUAUCUUCCAAACCGUUUGUCCAAAAAUUGUGUUCCGCACCUUUCUGGAAUCGUCACAACGUGUAGAAUAUUUUGGCACUGUUUAAUUUCAGUUUUAAACAACUUAGACAGAAGCUAUUUACAGAAUGCUUGAAUAUGGUUUAAAUUUCAAAUGAAUUUUUUCAAAAUAGUUUUGAACAUGUUAUCUUGCUGUAAAAUUAUUUAAACUUGUUCUUUAUCCAUUAGGACCAGAAAAGAAAUUAUUUUGUGUAUAAUCAUGGCAUGCAAGUUAAAUAUUGCUCUAUGUUGCAAAAGCCGCACAAUCUUUUGUUUUAAACCCUAUCCAUGUAUCAUGCAUAUUAAUUACCUCUUUGAUGUUGUAUAAUCUGUCCAAAUCAUUUGAAAAACUUUUCAAAACAGAAACAAAACUUUUUACUUUAGAAGUAACCUUUGUUGUGCAUCAUCAUAGCAUAUGCAUCAUGGCAUGAUUUUGUAUUGAGUGUUGUGUUUAUUGUGUGCAUGUUUAUUUUAUUUUUAGAUUGUGUGGAGUGUAUUCCUUGUUGUUGCGAAGAGUGCGAGAACUAUCACAACCUUGGACAAGGCAAGUUCACUUUGAUCAUAUCCCAUUAUUAUUGUUGUUUUAAAAUACUUAUGCAUUAGUGUUGUUGGUAGAGAUGCAUUGAUAGGACUAUUACUCGUACCUCUAUGCUAGCUAUAAAUCCCAGGUAGUAUAGUUUACCCUCGCCAUUACCUUGCCACCAAAUUGCCAUCGUUUUUAGUUGAAUGCUAGGCUAUGGUAGUAUCGUCGGGGAAAUAACUACAUUAUGAUAUUGAUAUGCCUUUGGCUAUAUGAAAUGUUUUUGUUAGAUGUAAGGCAAAACAACUAAUUCAAUGAACCAUCCUGGGUGGGCUGCUUUGAGAAUUUUGAGGAUUAGCGGCGUCAGGUCCAUUUCUAUGGGUCCCUCUGAGUCGAGUUCCUGUGGAUUCAGGAAUGGAUCGUCCAUGGACGUCUCUCCCGUGGAUUCGGGGAGCGCCUACGUUGCAAAUGUGGAAUGCCACCUGGGGUAACUGAGACUGGACUAGUUUCCUAUUUAGAAGCUUCUAGUACAACCACAAUGCUAUAUGGGCUCUGGCGAGACAAGAGUAAGUUGUAUGAACCUAAACCCGAAGAAUUGUACUGAGGUAGCCGUGUAGGGGGAGCGUGAUUCUCUCGUGGUUUAGGGAAUUACCUCUGAAAAUCUCGUAAUCGAUGCCGUUGCUACUCUACCCUGAGGACAGCAAGGGAUUAACACGUCGGUUUCUUGUGGGGAAUGUGUACAAACUCUCGAGAGCGUCAAAACUAAGUACUUAGCCGUGUCCCCGGCAACGGACAAUUUGAGCAACUAGAUGUGGAGCUGUAAGGAAAGUCUCACUCAUUCCAAUUUCUUAAAUAAAAUGAAUGGUUUGAACAGGGUAGGAGCACUUGAAGAAUCCACUUCAAUGUACUCUAGGUUAAUAGGAGCAUGGGUGUGUCUACCCCGUGUCUAUUAGUUAACAUUAUUAUAACAUUCCUUUGUAGUCGGGUAAUUUAUGUUCUGCUUCCACGCAAACAGCCUGAACUCCACCUUGCCAAAUACUGCAUAUACUUGGUAGGUUCUGAUAUAACUCCUAGUGAAUCUUGCCAAUACAUUGAAUGUAUUGACCCUAGUGGCUGCAUCGUUUAAUGAUGCAGGAAGCUCCGACGACGAGUAAGAUGUACGUUCUACUUGUUUGGGUUACGGGCCUACAUUCCAACACGCUCUCACCGUGGUGUUGAUGUGCCCUUGUAUCUUUCGCUUUCCGCUGCUAAACAAUUGUUUUCUUUCCAGCUAACCCGUGAGGUUAUGCGAGUUGUAAGUACCUUUUAAAUUCUGGAUGAUUCGUUGUAAUAUUGAGACCUUUGUUCUAUGAUAUUACAUCUUGAAACUGUGUGUGCUAGUGAGUCGAUCCAGGGACUAGCACUAAAGCACAAAGAUCGAACCCGUAUACGGGGGCGGUCGCUUCAUUUGCGUAGCCAUAAAUUCGAUUUAAUCGUUGGUGUUGACUUUGUAUACUAUUCCGUUGUAGUUGUAAAUACACGAUCUUUUUGUAGAUCCAUUGUAAUCUUUAAAUUCUAUAAAAAUGGAAACAACAACUUUAGUCGCCAUCUCCAUAUCUGGUUUACUUGUAAGCUUUACUGGGUAUGCCUUAUAUACCGCGUUUGGGCAACCCUCUCAACAAUUAAGAGAUCCAUUCGAAGAACACGGGGACUAAUGGAAGUAAGAAGUCUACCAGAUGGGUAGACUUCUUACUUCCAUAAAAUUAUUUUACUCUUUUAGUUGGAACCUUAGGCGGUUCUCGGAAGAAGAUAGCGAAAAAAAUUAUCCCUAAAGUCGAAACUAAAAGGAACGUAUAAACCAAUGCUUCCAUAGAUUCGAUCGUGGUUUAUUUACAAUUAUAACUUCCACACCUAUUCAUUUGUCAUUUGGGAUAAUUUCCCAUAUAAAGAAAGAAAACCAUAUAAACAAAGAAAAAAAGUAAAAGAAAGGAUGGGAGAUGUUUCCCAUGCCAAAUCAAAAAAGAAAGGUGAAAUGAAAGAUACCAUAACAAUGUGUAUCAGACUGCCUGUUUCCUUGUAGUAGGAUCUCCAACUUUUUGGAAUGUUCCAAACUCCACUUGAGCAUCCAAAUCUGGAUCAAUACCAGCAAAAAUAUCUCGGAACAAGGUUCUAGCGCCAUGCCAAAUGUGUCCGAAAAAGAAGAGCAAAGCAAAGGUAGCAUGACCAAAAGUGAACCAACCCCUUGGACUGCUGCGAAAAACACCAUCCGAUUUCAAAGUAGCCCGAUCUAAUUCAAAAAUUUCCCCUAAUUGAGAACGCCUCGCAUAUUUUUUUACAGUAGCAGGAUCAGAAUAACUUACUCCAUUAAGUUCGCCACCAUAGAACUCUACUGUUACGCCUACUUGUUCAACACUAUAUUUGGAUUCUGCUCUUCUAAAAGGAACGUCCGCACUCACAAUUCCCUCUUCAUCUACCAAAACAACCGGAAAUGUUUCAAAAAAAGUAGGCAUACGGCGUACAAAAAGCUCGCGUCCUUCUUUAUCUCUAAAGACGGGAUGUCCUAACCAUCCAACAGCUAUUCCAUCCCCAUUGUCCAUUGAGCCUGCUCUGAAUAAUCCCCCUUUUGCUAGAUUAUUACCAAUAUAAUCAUAAAAGGCUAAUUUUUCGGGAAUUUUAGACCAAGCUUCUGAUAAACUAAGAUUUUCGGAUAAACCAUUGCUAACUCUUCGAUAUAUUUCUUGCUGAAAGUAUCCCUGAUCUCACUGAUAACGAGUAGGCCCAAAUAAUUCGAUUGGGGUGGUUGCUGACCCAUACCACAUAGUUCCAGCAACUACGAAAGCUGCAAAAAAAACAGCAGCAAUACUACUGGAAAGUACAGUUUCAAUAUUGCCCAUACGUAAUCCUUUGUAUAGACGUUGAGGGGGACGGACACUAAGAUGGAAUAGGCCCGCUAAUAUACCCAAUGUACCCGCAGCAAUAUGAUGAGAAGCUGUUCCCCCCGGAACAAAAGGAUCAAAACCUUCUGCACCCCACGCCGGAUUUACAGCUUGUACUUUUCCAGUUAGUCCAUAAGGAUCGGACACCCAUAUCCCAGGACCAUACAAACCCGUUACAUGAAAUGCCCCAAAGCCAAAGCAAGCCACCCCUGCAAGAAAUAAAUGAAUUCCAAAGAUCUUGGGCAAAUCUAAAGAGGGUUUUCCUGUCCGAUCAUCAGAGAAUAUUGCUAGGUCCCAAUAUACCCAAUGCCAGAUAGCUGCCAAGAAACACAAGCCAGAAAACACAAUAUGCGUACCUGCCACACCUUCAUAACUCCAAAUACCCGGAUUUGUUACAGUUCCUCCUGAAAUACUCCAACCACCCCACGAAUCUGUUAUUCCUAAACGAGUCAUGAAGGGAAUGACGAACAUACCUUGUCUCCACAUUGGAUCCAGAACAGGAUCAGAGGGAUCAAAAACCGCUAAUUCGUAUAAAGCCAUCGAGCCAGCCCAACCAGAAACUAGAGCUGUGUGCAUUAUAUGCACCGCAAGCAAUCGACCCGGAUCAUUCAAUACGACAGUAUGAACACGAUACCAAGGCAAACCCAUGGAAAUACCUCUUUAGCAAAGAAAAAUAGACACGAUGUCGCUUUAUUUUAUCGCAUUGUAAAAGACUAUCCAUAUCCUAUGGACCUAACCCUUCUAUGGGAUUCUGUGUCAGAAAGCAUGAAUAUUUAUUUCAUUCCAUUAAAAAAAAGAAGCUAAUUCUGUUUAUAAUACGAAAAAGAAGCAGAUCUAUUCUAUACUCGAUAAGUCCCAAUAUGCAAUGGGUAACUUGGCCGAUUUGGAAAAAACCAAGAAUAGAUCCCUACCCCUCUUUGGUUAUGAUUCGAAUCACCGAUUCCUUUUUUCUUUAUUCAAUCUGUGUUAUCUUCUUUAUAUGUAUAACCUUUCAAUCUAUGUAUUAUUUCAAUCUACAUAUUAAUAGAAUAUAUAGUAUUCAUAUAGAAUAAGAAUAAAAAUGAAGACAAUAAAUCGGAGAUUCUUUCUUUCUCUUCCAUUCUUACGUUUCCAUAUUAAAGUAUAGUUUUCUUACUUAAAUUUAAUAAUAUUAAUCUAAUAUGCCCAUUGGUGUUCCAAAAGUACCUUACCAGAUUCCCGGAGAUGAAGAAGCGACUUGGGUUGACUUAUACAAUGUUAUGUAUCGAGAAAGGACACUUUUUUUAGGUCAAGAGAUUCGUUGCGAGAUCACGAAUCAUAUUACAGGUCUCAUGGUAUAUCUCAGUAUAGAAGAUGGAAUUAGUGAUAUUUUUUUGUUUAUAAACUCCCCAGGCGGAUGGCUAAUCUCAGGAAUGGCUAUUUUUGAUACGAUGCAAACGGUGACACCGGAUAUAUAUACAAUAUGCCUCGGAAUAGCUGCGUCCAUGGCGUCCUUCAUUCUGCUUGGAGGAGAACCCACCAAGUGUAUAGCAUUCCCUCACGCGAGGAUUAUGCUUCACCAACCUGCUAGUGCUUAUUAUCGAGCAAGGACACCAGAAUUUUUACUAGAAGUGGAAGAGUUACACAAAGUUCGCGAAAUGAUCACAAGGGUUUAUGCACUAAGAACAGGCAAGCCUUUUUGGGUUGUAUCCGAAGACAUGGAAAGGGAUGUUUUUAUGUCAGCAGACGAAGCCAAAGCUUAUGGGCUUGUCGAUAUUGUAGGGGAUGAAAUGAUUCACGAGCACUGCGAUACUGAUCCAGUGUGGUUUCCAGAAAUGUUUAAGGAUUGGUAGUGCCCGGAUUUCUUGUAAAGUUAUUUCACACCUAAAUUCGGGUUUUCUUCGAUUUAAUAGAAAAUAGAAAGACUUCAUGAUGAUCAAUCAUCAGGUUAAGAUGGAUCUAAACCAAUCCACUUUUUUCUAUAUACAUACAACAUGCCAACGGUUAAACAACUUAUUAGAAACGCAAGACAGCCAAUACGAACUGCUAGAAAAACAGCCGCGCUUAAAGGAUGUCCUUAGCGUCGAGGAACAUGUGCUAGGGUGUAUGUGCGACUCGUUCAGAUCAUGACUUCAAAAAAAUAAAAAAAAUUGAAGUAGCCAUGAUUGGUACCGAUGAAUAGGAUAUAGCUUCUCUAUCCUAGAUUUCUAUGAUAUAUGGAAUUUGUGGUUUCCUUUGGUGCAAAUCCAGUUAUCUAAAUUGGAAAUAAGAAGCAAUUCCUCCAUUGGUAGCAAAUAGUUAUCCAUUAGCGGAGGAAAAAGUAAUAAAAAGAAAAAGGCUUAUGUUCCUUUAUCUUAAAAGAACGGACUAACAGGGUCAGCUACUUAGCUAACUUUCAUAAUUAAAUGCCAUCACUGUAUGGAUAACUCUUAUUGUGAAAAGAGCUAUUUACUCUAUAAUGGAUAGGUAGAGCCAAAGAAUGUGAACUAUACAAGUUCACAAUACCUUUUGAUAAAAGAAGGGGCUCCGGUGUAUAGAGAGGGCCUCGCCAUUUAAAAGGGAACCAUAGAAACGAUGGAACCCACUAUUUUUUUAGUAUCAUUAGAAUUAAUUUGUUAUUUCGCAUAGAAAUAACUGAAGGGAGUAGAAAAAAAAUCGUGGUUGGGAAGGUUACUAAAGCAAAAGCCAUUGGAAUUAAUAUUUUAUAUAUCGGAAUAAUUCGUUUUGUUAUUAAUGGGGAAAAGGAUGGCUAAAAGAAGAGAAAUCAUUAGUUAUUCAUUAAGGUUAAUUUGAUUCAAUGACCAGAGUUCCGCGAGGAUAUAUAGCCCGGAGACGACGAACAAAAAUGCGUUCAUUUGCCUCAAAUUUUAGAGGGGCUCAUUUAAGACUUAAUCGAAUGAUUACCCAACAGGUAAAAAGAGCUUUUGUUUCCUCUCAUCGAGAUAGAGGUAGGCAAAAGAGGGAUUUUCGCCGUUUGUGGAUCACUCGGAUAAACGCAGCAACGCGGAUAUUUAAAGUAUUCGAUAGUUAUAGUAAAUUAAUACACAACCUAUAUAAGAAGAAAUUGAUUCUUAACCGUAAAAUGCUUGCACAAGUCGCUGUAUCAAAUCCAAAUAACCUUUACACGAUUUCCAAGAAAAUCAAGAUCAUCAAUUAAAAGGAUAAAUAAAGUAAUAUACUGGAAUAAUAAAAACCGAAUUCCCGGAGAGGGGACUCCGGGAAGACACAAUAAUUUAAGAUUAAGUGGUAGGAAUCAACGAGCUGGAUUACUUUCUUUAUAAUAUAUAUAGGCCUGGCCCUUUCGAAUAAAACAUCAACAAUCGGAACUUAAGUUCCGAUUGUUGUUUCUUAAAUUUUGGUUAUAGUUUCUUACGUUUCGAUUGGAACUGUACUUUUGCGUUAAUUGAGGAAUAUGUCUAUUUUUUCUGGGUCUAGAACCUGUAAUUAUUGAAAUUGACUGGGCUUGAAAUUGCUUUUCGUUCUCAUAGUUACGAAAUGGUAAGAAAGAUAAAAUACGCGCUUGUUUUAUAGCAAGAGUAAUUAAUCGUUGUUGUUUCAAGGUUAAUCGAUUUAUUCGUCUCGAUAAUAUUUUUCCCUGUUCACUAAUAAAUCGAUUAAUCAAACUCAUGUUUCUAUAAUCAAUUCGAUCUCCCGGGCCAAUCCGAGGACGCCUACGAAAAGGUUGUUUGGAUUUACGAAAAGUUUGCUUGGAUUUACAAAAGGGUUGCUUGGAUUUAUUAAAAGUUUGCUUGGAUUUACGAAAGGGUUGCUUAGAUUUAAGAAAAGGUUGUUUAGAUGUAUACAUGAUUUAUUCCUUAUUUAAAAUUUUAAAAUUAAUAAAAGAAACUUCAUUUCUUUAUUUUAUUAAUUUAGGAUCGAGAAGAAGUAGUCUUUCUUUAAUCCAUAUCUUAAUCUUAUUUGACUCAUAUUCUUAAUCUUAUUUGAUUCAUAUUAUAGUAUAUGAAUACCCUCUAGACAUAUGAAAUAAUAUCUACCUAAAAUAAUAUGAGUUGAUUUUUAUUUUGUAUUGUAUCUAUGUUUUAUUUAUAUAUUAAAUAAAAUAGGAAGUUCUUACUCUUUCUGUUCUUUGGAAAGAUCGAACACACGAUCUUCCUAUUUCUUUAUUUCGUGAUGAGUCGUGUGCUUGCGACAAUAACGACAAAAAAAAUUGAAUUCUAAUUGUCUGGGUGUAUUGUGGCGAUUCUUUUCAGUACUAUAUCUAGAAAUUCCCGUCGAUUCCUCAUUGGCACCUUUUCGAACACAACUGAUGCAUUCCAAAAUAACUCUGAUUCUAACAUCUUUCCCCUUGGCCAUGAACCUCCUUUUCUUUUUGGUUGGAUUGACUUAACUUAAUUCUUCUACUUAUUUAUUCUUUUAUUCUUCUAUUUUGAAUCCGAAGAAGAAGAAUAAAAUCCAUUAGAAUAUAAUUUUUUUGAAAUUCUUAAAUUAAGUAAUAAAAAUAGAGAAAUAAUUAAAGAAUACAAUCCUUGUCGAAUUAGCAAAGAUUUUGUUUCGAAAUCCUUUCAUUUAAUUAGUCAGCCGGGCCUUUUUCUAUGCUCUGAUUUCUUUGGAUAUCGCUUUUAAUUGAAUUUCCGUUUUCCAAAAUGGGAUUUACCAAAAAAUUUCAUGACUCUGAGGUUCAGCCCAAUCCAGCAUUUCGUUCUUUUUCCUUCCGAUACUAAAAAAGGAUUGAAAAGGGUAAAAAUUUCUUCAUGUCAUGAAGAAUUCGAUUUCUAAUAAACAAAUGAUAUAGUAUACCACCUAACGAUUUUGUUUCCCCUAUGAGGUAAAAAGAAAAUUAAUGAACCUGCAAAUAUCGGCAAAACUAUAAGUAUUGUUAACCAAGGAAAAUAACUCAUGAUAAAGUGAUAAAGAUAAGAUACGUUUUGCCCACAAAAGCCCGUGCUCGAUUAUUUCGAGCACAGGCUUCUUCGGUAAAGAGGAAUCAGACGAUUCAAGUGGAGUUUUUUGUAACGUAUCAAUAAGAUAGAGCCAUGCUACGGGUUGUUUCAGGCCCUAAAUAAACGCGGACGCUUAAAAAAUCUGUCGAACAGGCGGAUUCGCAUCUCUUGCAACCCACACAAUCUUCGGUUCUUGGCGCGGAAGCAAUUUGCUUGGCUUUACAUCCAUCCCAGGGUAUCAUUUCUAAUACAUCUGUUGGACAAGCUCGUACACAUUGAGUGCAUCCUAUACAUGUAUCAUAAAUUUUUACAGAAUGUGACAUUGGAUCUAUAAAUUUUUCUUUUCAACAUAAAUUUUUUCCGAUCUGGUAAAUUAGUACUGUAUGAGUCAUAUGUAUUGUAGACACCAGACGAAGCAAUGGUUUGUCCAAACUUCAAAAAAAAAUCUAUUUUUUAAUCUGUUUGUGAGAAAGCGUGAAAAGAGCCAAGAGACUUAAAUUUUGGACUUCAACAAUCAUAAUUAUACGAAUUUAGAAUUCGCCAAUAAAUUGGCUACCGUCUUUUCAAUAUAAAUUAUUGCAAUAUUCAAAUUGCAAUAUCAAUGAAUUAGAAAAAUUCAUUUAAGUAAAAAAGAAUACUAUGCAAUAACCUACUAAAAAAAGGAUAUUCUCAAAUAAUAAUAAGAAAAUCGUAUUCGAUUUCUAUUCAUCUUACAUAUUAGAGAUUAUUAUUAUAUGUACUCCUUUGUUUAGAGUAUUCUAUGUCUAAUUAUUCAAGAAAUUAGAUUGAUUGAUACAAGUUGAUUUCCUAUUACGAUGGAUGGAAGAAAGAAUGGAUAGUCCAAUAGCGGCUUCAGCAGCCGCAAGGGCUAUAACAAAAAUUGCGAAAAUGUCUCCUUUUAAUUGGCGACUAUCAAAUAGAUCAGAAAAUGUUACGAGAUUCAGUAUAAGUUCAAGACAUAUUAGAGCUCUAACCAUGUUUCGGCUUGUGAUCAAUCCAUAGAUACCAAUCGAAAAUAAAUAGACACUCAAAAAAAGUACAUGCUCAAACAUCAUUAACGAACUCCUUAUCAAUCUCGAUUCAUUUCAAUAUGAGGACAAGAAUUGAAUCGAUUCAAUUAAUUACAAUAAAACAAUUACACAAGAAAAGAGAAAAGAAGGUAUUUGUUGGCAGUAGAUGGAUUUUACUAAAUCAAAAUUGAGAUUCUUUAGUUAUUUUUUUUAGAUUUGUAAUUCUUAUAAUUUUUACUCUUUCUAAGUUUUCUUAUUGCCGAGCCAUAGUAAUAGCACCUAUUAAAGAAACUAGAAGAAUUAUGGAAAUGAGUUCAAACGGAAGAUAAAAAUCGGUUGCUAAAUGAAUCCCAAUUUAUUGAACAUUAUUUAUGAGACCCUGCUCUACUAUUUGGUUGGAUCUUGUAGUCCAAAGAAUUCCAUACCAUGAUGUAUCUGGGAUAGUAGUCAUUCGUGAAAAAACAAUAGUUAUACAAACGAGUGAAGUGAACCCAUCUCCAAUAGUCCAAUAAUUCUUAUCUUUAGACCAUUCUGAACCAUUUACGAACAUUACAGCGAAUAUGAUCAAGACAUUUAUGGCUCCUACAUAAAUAAGAAGUUGUGCGACAGCUACAAAGUAGGAAUUCAAUAAAAAAUAGAAUAAGGAUAUACAAACAAGAACUAAUCCCAGCGAAAAGGCAGAAUAAAUGGGGUUGGUAAGUAAUACUAGUCCUAGACCCCCUAGUAGAAGAACAAAUCCCAAAAAUAGCACAAGAAUCUCGUGUAUUGGUCCGGGUAAAUCCAUUAUGGAUAAAAAUAAAUUAAUAGUAUAAAUUUUUUCAUGAAUUGACUAAAACUAAAGGAUUCAAGGGAGGAAAAAGGGAUUAGGAUAUUUUUUUGUGUAUAAGCUGUAUAGUUAGAAAUUCUAUCACGAAAAUCUAGUAUGAUUUAAAAUAAGAAAUAAUUUGCAAUAAAAUAAGCGGUAGUUAUUAGCUUUUCUUUAUAGUUAGUAAAGAAUUGUUCGAUUUUUAUAACAAAAAAGAAAAAAUCCUAGUUUAGUAAUCAGUAAUCGUUCUUGAAUUUGAAGAUAAAUCUUCGUCUAUUUGACUUUCAGCCGAAUUUCGAAUUGUUUGAAUUGUGUAAUCCCCCAUUAUGGAGAUUGGUAACCGGCUUAAAGCAAUUUGAUUAUAAUUCAAUUCAUGCCGAUCAUAAGUAGAUAGUUCAUAUUCUUCCGUCAUUGAUAAACAGCUUGUUGGACAGUACUCAACACAAUUACCACAAAAUAUACAAACUCCGAAAUCAAUACUAUAAUUAAGCAAUUGUUUCCUUUUAACAGCCUUUUCAAAUCUCCAAUCCACAAUGGGGAGAUCUAUCGGACAUACGCGAACACAAACUUCACAAGCAAUACAUUUAUCAAAUUCAAAGUGGAUUCGUCCCCGAAAACGCUCCGGUGUAAUUGAUUUUUCGUAAGGGUAGUGAAUCGUUAUGGGUAAACGAUUUGUGUGGGAUAAGGUAGUUAUGAAACUUUGACCAAUGUACCUUGUAGCACGUAUUGUUUGUUGGCCAUAACUCAUGAACCCAGUUACCAUAGGGAACAUAUUCUAAAUAUCUAUGAAAAAGGUAUGUUUCUUUCUCUUGUUUGAGAGAGCUUUUGUGUUGAAAAUAUUCUUACUGUUAUUCUAUUAUCUUAUUUAGAGUGAAACAAGUUGGGAAGAGAUUGUUAAUAAGAGAUUACCCAGGGAAAUAGGUAAAAGAAAUUUCCAUCCAAGAUUUAAUAACUGAUCGAUUCUCAUCCUGGGUAAAGUCCAUCUUAUUGUGAUAGAAAUGAAGAGAAAUAAAUAAGCUUUAGUUAAUGUAAUAAAGAUACCCAUUGUCAUUUCUAAAAUCCCAACUGCUUUAUUCAUUUGGAAAAAAUCAAAAAAGGAUAUAUAGGGAAUAGAUAAAUCCCACCCGCCUAAGUAGAGAUAAAGAGGAAACUAAUAAAUUUAGGUAAGAAACAAGAUAAAAUAAACCAUAUUUUAUACCGGAAUAUUUGGUUUGAUAACCUGCUACUAAUUCUUCUUCUGCUUCUGGUAAAUCAAAGGGUAAUCUUUCACAUUCUGCCAAAGAAGAAAUUAGAAAAACCAGAAAACCUAUAGGCUGGCGCCAAAUAUUCCACCCAAAAAAACCAUAUUUGGACUGUGCUUCAACUAUAUCAACUGUACUUGAACUGUUAGAUAAUCAUAGUCGAUGAUAACAUCACAGUUCCCACCGCUAUUCCAAAACCGUACAUGAAACCUUAGCUUCAUACGGCUUCUCUAUGAUCAGAAAAAGGGAAGGGCUGUUUCCUUUCGGUAUGAGCCUCUGGGGCGUGGAUAGAAUUAUUUUCUAGGCAAAAUAAAAUCGAUUGGAAAGCCCUAAAUUAGACCAAAGAAAUUCUGUCUGCUAGAAUAAGAGCGCUUCCGAAUUGAUCUCAUCCUUUAUAAUAUAAUUAAAAUUGUUCUUUGUUAAGUACUAACUUAAUCUUGGAAUAAAACACUCGUUAUAGGAAUUCUAUUAAUAAAUGGAAAGAAUUGGGCAUUAGUUCAGGAAGAAUUCUGUAUGAAUAUGGAUAGAGUCAAAAAAGAUUGACUAAUCGAAAGAAAAACAAAAAAGGAAUUCCAUUGAAUUUUAUUUUUAUUGAUCAAUUAGAAUUGCCUUCUAGAACGUAUAAUUAUCUCAAAAGGGCCAAUAUACAUACACUAUUGGACCUUUUGAGUAAGACUGAAGAAGAUCUUAUGAGAAUUGACAGUUUUCGUAUGGAAGAUGGAAAACAGAUAUGGGACACUCUAGAGAAGCAUCUCCCAGUUGAUUUACUUAAGAAUAAGCUCUCGUUUUAAAUCCAUUGCAAUUUUUGGCUCUUCUUCUUUUUCGAGUUAGGAUAAAAAGAAAAAAACAAGUUUGCAUCUUCAGGAGAAUCUAUAUUUUCGUGAAAUGGAUCAUAAUAAAAUGUAUUUUAGGUAUCUAGGGAAAAUUCACUUCGAAGUAACUAUUUCCUAGAUACCUAUGCACGGUACUUCACGGUUGAAUGAAUCAACCUGAAAAAUACCUAAAAAAGGCCUAAAGUUAAGGAUUUAUCAAUGGGUAAUGUUGCUCCAAUACCUAACCAAAGAGCUACUGCAGUACCGAUUAAAAAAACGGUCGUAGCUACCGGGCAACGAAAUGGAUUUUGGAAUUUGUUGACAUUCUCUAGAAAAGGUACUGUCAAUAAGCCUGUUGGCACAGAAACCAUUAAGACAACGCCCAAUAACUUAUUGGGUACCAUACGGAGUAUUUGAAACACGGGAAAGAAGUACCACUCGGGUAAUAUUUCCAAAGGAGUUGCAAACGGAUCCGCGGGUUCACCAAUCAUUGAUGGCUCGAGAACAGCUAAACCUACAUUACAUGCAAUAGUACCUAGAAUUACUACUGGAAAAAUAUAUAAAAGAUCGUUGGGCCACGCGGGUUCGCCGUAAUAAUUAUGUCCCAUCCCUUUAGCUAAUUUUGCUCUUAAUACAGGAUCAUUUAAGUCUGGUUUCUUUGUUAUUGGGAUAGGUGAACUCUUUAGGAUCCAUCCCCCAAAGGAACCGGACAUGAGAAUUUAUCAUCAUCCGUCUCGAGCAAUAAAGAAAGAAAUAAGACCGCGGAAGAUCCAUAAUAAUAAUAGAAUAAGGUAUAUAAUUACUCAAUGACUCUAGGCAAGAAAAGCUUUAUCAAAUUAUCUUUCCGAAGUUCCACCUACAACUACUCAUUGAAAAUAAUCCUAUUCUUAUGGGUAAAUGCUCAAUAUCCAAGUGGGCUUACAAAUUUGAUCAUGAUCAAUUGCUUUGUGGAUUGUCUCAUGUCUCUUGAUUAGUUGGUCUUUAUCCCCUCACUAUCGCAAGUUUCUUACGCCCAAAUAAAGUAUUUACUUGUUACUAAUAAAAAAAUCAAAAAGUUUAGCCUAUGCUCUUCCUUAGAUCCCUUCUUUUACUCCGAUAGUAUUGCGAAUCACAAUCGAUGCAAAGAAAAUGAAUGCAUUUCCAUACCAUAAUAAAAAAAGGUAAGUGUAAUAAAUAGAGAAUUGGAUCAUGUCACGUGACUUAUUCCAUUUCUACUCUAUGGGAUCUUACGGAGCCUUUUCAUGGAUGACAUGGUUGGGGUAUGAUCAUAGAAAAUAUUCUCCUCAAGUGAACCAGCCUAUCCUUCCUAGGUAGGGGACUUACGUGUUGAUUGGAUGCGGAGACACCUUUGGUUGUGAAUUCUAAUGUGGCAGAUCCAAUUCUUUAUCUGCAUGGCCAAAUCUAUAAUUCAAGUCACACACUCCCAUAAUCCGCCUUUUUUUAUUUUGUAAAAUUAACUUCAACUAUUUGUAUUAUAUCAAAAUACUUCGGAGUUGAAGAGAAGUAUCCAAAUGACAUGUGUUAUUUUACAAUAACCCAUGUUUGUAGCAAUGAAAUACCACAACCUACCCAAUAUUAUAUACGAGAAUUCUAAUUCUCUAUGAUAUGCCUUCCCUAUAAAGGACCCGAAAUACCUUGCUUACGUAUCAUUGGAAAGUGCAUUAACAUAAAUACGGCAGUAAGCAGAGGAAGUACAAAGGUAUGUAAACUAUAAAAACGAGUCAAAGUGGAUUGGCCCACACUAGCACUUCCACGUAAUAACUCCGCUAGAGGUGAUCCUAUUAUCGGAAUCGCAUCAGGUACACUUGUCACAAUUUUGACUGCCCAAUAACCAAUUUGAUCCCAAGGCAAAGAAUAACCCGUUACACCAAACGAUGCAGUCAAAACAGCCAAAACCACACCUGUGACCCAAGUUAAUUCGCGGGGUUUUUUAAAUCCACCUGUGAGAUACACACGAAAUACAUGUAGGAUCAUCAUUAGAACCAUCAUACUUGCUGACCAUCGAUGAACUGAUCGGAUUAACCAACCAAAGUUGGCCUCGGUCAUUAUGUAUUGAACCCAGGAAAAAGCCUCUGUAACAGUUGUGCGAUAGUAAAAAGUCAUAGCAAAACCGGUAGCGACUUGUACUAGAAAGCAAGUAAGUGUAAUUCCCCCUAAACAAUAAAAUAUGUUGACAUGAGGAGGAACAUAUUUACUAGUUAUAUCAUCUGCAAUUGCCUGAAUCUCAAGACGUUCCUCAAACCAAUCAUAUACUUUAUUGAAAUAGGUAACUAACCUAAGUCCCCCUCUAAGAACCGUAUAUGAAAAUUUCAUCUCGUACGGCUCAAGCAGAAACACACAAAUUUUCAACGAAUAUUAGAAAAAAAGGUUCAAAACUUCAUCAGCCACUGGAUUGGGUCGAUUUGCCUUGAAGAUAUGAAAUAAGAAAAAUCCGGAAUAUCCUCUUUGUAAUGCUAAUGCCAAAAAAUCUCAAGUUGGCUCAUCUGUCUUUCUUCCUUUCCCUUAUAUUGGUCAUUAGAGGCCUCUUGACUUUUCUCUUCCCUAUUUUUGAUUUUAUUUUUUGUGUGUAAUGCGGAUUUACUCUUUAUUUACUAGUAAAUAAAGAAAGCCAAAAUUCUAGUAGUUUUCUGAUAGAAAUUAUCUUGUUGCGAUCCUAUGAAUCAAUUCAAUUUAAACCUUAGAUUCAUACUAGAGCCACGAUGAUUGAGUCUCAAGCUAAACAAAAGGCAAGGGUUCUUCGAAUAAGAACCACUUGAUAAUCAUUUAUGGAAUCCGUGUAAUGACUCGACAAAAUGGAAAGUUCGAAUAAGAAUCCGUGUAAAUUGGGGCUUAUCAGGACCCAUGUUACCAAUUUGGCUUCUUCUCCGCUAAUAAAACCUACUCGCUCAACUCGUUCCAAAACUUCCAUACGAAAACUGUCAAUUUUCAUAAGAUCUUCUUCAGUCUUACUCAAAAGGUCCAAUAGUGUAUGUAUAUUGGCCCUUUUGAGAUAAUUAUACGUUCUAGAAGGCAAUUCUAAUUGAUCAAUAAAAAUAAAAUUCAAUGGAAUUGCUUUUUUGUUUUUCUUUCGAUUAGUCAAUCUUUUUUGAAAAGUAAAAAGGGGUGGAGUAAACCUGUUUUUAUUUUCAUCGAAACCAGUUCCCUCUUCCUCUGCGUGUAGAAAAGGAAGAAAUAAAUCAAUCAAAUUACGAGAAGCCUCAUAAAGCGCUUCCGAAGAAGAAGAAUAAAAUCCAUUAGAAUAUAAUUUUUUUGAAAUUCUUAAAUUAAGUAAUAAAAAAUAGAGAAAUAAUUAAAGAAUACAAUCCUUGUCGAAUUAGCAAAGAUUUUGUUUCGAAAUCCUUUCAUUUAAUUAGUCAGCCGGGCCUUUUUCUAUGCUCUGAUUUCUUUGGAUAUCGCUUUUAAUUGAAUUUCCGUUUUCCAAAAUGGGAUUUACCAAAAAAUUUCAUGACUCUGAGGUUCAGCCCAAUCCAGCAUUUCGUUCUUUUUCCUUCCGAUACUAAAAAAAGAUUGAAAAGGGUAAAAAUUUCUUCAUGUCAUGAAGAAUUCGAUUUCUCGCAUAGCAAUAACUAGAAUUAAAAAAAAGGGAAUGACAAAGCAUCUGGGAAUAAACGAUUAAUUUCUAUCAAUAAACCUGCUAAAGCAGCAAACCAUAGAGUACUUAGCACAGGUGCUACAGAGAGAUAUGUUUUUAUAUUCCGCAUUGAAAAUCCUCCUUCCUUAUUGGAAUACGUAUAUGAUCAGAAACUCUUGCCCAAGAACGUUAUGCUAUAUAUAAAAUGAACCAUAUAGACGAAAUUUCCCUAUCCCUAAAAAAGAAAAAGAUGACACCCUUCUUCCUACACAUUACCAUAGUAAUCUUUCUUUUAUAGGCGAAAUUCGAUUGGAUUUUAAAUGUAUAUCAUUCCUUGAUUAUAUGAGAUGAGACCAAAAAGAAGAAAUGACGGGAGGGUUCUAUAUAGAUAGAGAAAGAAGAAGAAAAUUACGAUAUCGAAAAGAAGACAGGAAUUGUGUACAAUGGCAUUGUACAACAAUUUGGAAAAGGGAUGUAGCGCAGCUUGGUAGCGCGUUUGUUUUGGGUACAAAAUGUCACAGGUUCAAAUCCUGUCAUCCCUACCUAUUACUUAUUUCUUCUUUAUGGGCAGUAGCGAAGAGAUUGAUUAAAGGUAAAGUGGGUAUAACUUGAAUUUGUGCAGACUAUACGUACGUGAGAUACGUUAGGAGUAGAAAAGAGUUUUCUUUUUGAAUGAAUGACAGCGCUCUUAGUUCAGUUCGGUAGAACGCGGGUCUCCAAAACCCGAUGUCGUAGGUUCAAAUCCUACAGAGCGUGAUUCCAUCUAUCUUAUGUCGAACCAGAGUAAAGUAACUUAACAAAAGAAAGUUGAAUUGCAACUCCAAUUUGACCUCCUCCAGACCAAGGAGGAGGUCAAUCAAAAAAAAAUAUUACUCAAUCAAAGAUCCAACUGAUGCCCACGCCUGUAUUGCAAAUACGCAGUCACGAAUAAUCCCGCUAAAGUAAUAGGAAUUAGGCCUAAGACGAUUCCAAAUAGAAAAACUUCAAUCAUUUCGAUUUGUUCGAGGGGAUAAAAAAAUAGAUACGAUCUAUCCCUAAAUAGUACUAUAAAUUAUCCACGAAUCUCAAUGACCAAGAAAAGAAUUCGUAAUUAGUGGGGAAAAGAGUCGUAGAAUACCCGGAAUCCAAAAGAAAUAUUUUUAUUUUCUGACUUAUUCAGUCAAUUCAAAUAAGACGUAUCUUGUUCAAACCAAUAAAUAAAGCUGGGGUUAUAGUUAAAGCAGCCAAUAGAAAACCGAAAUAACUAGUUAUAGUAAGCAUGAAAGGGUUAAAUUCCAUUUAUUUUUUUACUAUACUACAUAUGUUGGUAAAGCACUUACCUAAGUUAUGGAAAAUUCAUAAUUUAUCAGUUAUUUUAGAUAAUACUAAAAAACAAGAUAGAGUGAGAUAUAGAAGUGUAAAAGAAAGUGGAUUCAUCAGAUGAUACAUGAGUCACUAAUUCCGAAUCAAGAGAUUUGUUGUGGAAUUUUUCCAUUGAGUAAAGUAAUAAUAUUAAAAACAACAUCAUCUAACCCCAUUGAAAAAUUCAAUUGGAUUUUCAGGGGAAUUUUGGAAUAAGAGAGAAAUAAACAAUUGAAUUUGAAAAAAAAACGUCUUCCUAUUUCGGAUUAUUUCUUUAGGAUUUAACCCUCUUUUUUGAGUGAAAGGGGGAAUUUCCCCCUAUUCUUUCUUAUUUUAACUGAUUGUAUUCCAUAUGGAAUAAGAGGAGAAAAAAAGCAUUCCACUAUCCCCUGAAGGGCCCUUAAAAAAAGAAACCUCUUCCUGGAAUUUACUUUAUUUUUAUUCCUUUUUCGAAAACGAGUCGCUUCAAUUAUCCUUUGAAGUUCUAUCUUCUGUCUUUCCCUAUUUCAUCUCGUAAAGUUCCACGCUCGCAAUUUAGUCAAGAAAGUUAGACCUAAUCCAACAAACAAGACAAGGAUUAAUCACAAAUCUUGAUUCUUCAAAUAAUGUUUUCUUUCUUUCAUAACAGAUUAUCCACUAUUCGAUUUUCUAUUUAUUAGAUAUUAUGUAAACAAUUAAAUUAUUUAUAAAUUUUUUAAAAGGAAAGAUUGGAUUCGAAGAAAACUUUUCACCAAAAAAGGAUAGGUUUCACAUAUACUUGUCCUUGUAUUGUGUAACUAUGAGAAUAUCUUUCCUAAAUUCUUUAUCCAAAGCUAUUGAUCAUUAACUUCAACUUCUAUUUUCCCAAGAUUUUGGCCGCUAUUCCGAAUUCUUCUACUAUUCCGAAGCCAAUGAAAAUAAGUAGGACUCCAAAAAAGUGGGUUUUCUAUUGAUGCCUUGAACAACAUAUAGCUUACCUAUAGACAAAGAACAAAGAAGAUAAAAAAGGAAUUAUGUUUUGGAACCAAGCAAAACUGAAUUGCUGUGCCAUAGGAAGGAUAGCUAUACUAAUUCGGUAUACUCAAAUACACCUUUGGUACAAAAUUGACAAUCUCACAAGGAUGAAAUACCAGUAAUUUUUUAUUUAUUGGUUGAUCCCAUCUUUUACGGAAUCAAUUCCUUUUUUGAAUGUACAAAAAUUUGGGGCGCUCGGCAUGUCUGGAAGCACGGGAGAACGUUCUUUUGCUAAUAUUAUUACCAGUAUUCGAUACUGGGUUAUUCAUAGCAUUACUAUACCUUCCCUAUUCAUUGCGGGUUGGUUAUUUGUCAGUACGGGUUUAGCUUAUGACGUGUUUGGAAGUCCUCGGCCAAACGAGUAUUUCACGGAAAGCCGACAAGGAAUUCCUUUAAUAACCGACCGUUUUGAUUCUUUAGAACAACUCGAUGAAUUUAGUAGAUCUUUUUAGGAGACCCUCAAUGACCAUAGAUCGAACCUAUCCUAUUUUUACAGUGCGAUGGCUGGCUAUUCACGGACUAGCUGUACCUACUGUUUUUUUCUUGGGAUCAAUAUCAGCAAUGCAGUUCAUCCAACGAUAAACUAAAUUCCAACUAUAGAACUAUGACACAAUCAAACCCGAAUGAACAAAAUGUUGAAUUGAAUCGUACCAGCCUAUACUGGGGUUUAUUACUCAUUUUUGUACUUGCUGUUUUGUUUUCCAAUUACUUCUUCAAUUGAGAGAAAAGAAGAGAGUAGUAAGAACUCUCUUAUCCCAUUUGGAAGGAUACCAUCCUUAUAACAUAACUAUCCAUGACUGUUUUUGUCUCUAGCAUGACCACUUGAUAAAAUGUGGAGGAAAGUAGGGGAAAUGGCCGAUACUACUGGAAGAAUUUCUCUUUGGCUGAUAGGUACGGUAACUGGUAUUCCUGUGAUUGGUUUAAGAAUUUCUCUUUUAUGGUUCAUAUUCUGGAUUGGGUUCAUCUCUAUAGUAAUCGGAGGGAUCGGAUUGGAAACAUGAAAAAGUAGGAGCUUAGCGGGUCCUUACCCCCCCUUUUUUUUAUCUGAUUAGAGCAGAAAGGACCCGCGGAAUUCUUACUCUUAUAACGCGACUUUAAUCUAUUCGAUUCACUCUUAUGAAGCAAUAAGAAAAAGAGAUCAAUCGAGGAUCCAAUACAAUAUUUUAUUCCACGAAGGGAGUCUCCUGGAAAUCAUUGAUUUAGCUUAGAGUAAUAAACUAAUAAAACCUUAAUCAAAACUACUCAACUAGCCUAAAAAAAACCACCCUUCAACGGAAAAGUUUACGUUUUUUUUGCAAAAUUUCUGUAAGUUCUAAAUUGAACUUAAUCGAACAAGUCAAGCAAUUCGAUUUGCUCACAAUCACAAUAAAUUUGUCCCCCGCCAUAUUCCCUUCCCCUCUGUUUGUGCACUACCUCCCCUGAACCUAAGCAAAAGAGGGCCAAGAGACAGACCCGAAUAAAGAAGAAAUUGUUACCUUUGACGAAUAGAAAGAAAAAGGAUUCUUAUUUCGAGACAAGAAAAGAAGAAUCGGCACAAGAAAAAGGCCUUUUUGUCUUUUUCUUGUGCCGAAUAGACGAUUAACAAGACCAGCAAUCCCUUCGAAAAGGAAGAAAUCCUUUUAUUGUUCUCGCCUUUGCCUUGGAUUCUCUUCUUUUGCAUGAGAUAGAAAUAAGGAAUUCCAGACAUCUCGCAAACAAAAAAAAGUCUAAACAAAAAAAGGAUUUCCAAAAUAGAUCAUAGAUAAUUCUAACAAUUGCCAAUAAAUCCCGGCUUUUUACCAAGUUGAUGGUAAGAAAUCCCGGGACCUAGAAAUUCAUUUCGUACAAUUGAACCUUUUCAAACUGUUUCUUUUUGAGAACCAAAAAAACUUGUGCCAAAAUAACGGAUGCGAAGAAGAACAAAAGGCCUUGGACGCGUAAUGGAUCCUGAAGCACUAUUUCUGCAUCCCCCUGACCAAAUCCUCCCACAUUGGGAUUACUUGUUAAUGGUUGAUCAAGCUUGAUGGAUUCCCCCUCUGAAACAAGAAGUUCUGGCCCGGGAGGUAUAAUAUCAAUCAAUUGGCGUCCAUCCGAUGCAUCCACUAUGGAUAUUUCAUACCCCCCCCCCCCCCUUUUUCUUUACGUUGUAUUUUUUUUACUAUACCUGUUGACGUAGCAUUAUAGACCGUAUUGUUACUCUUGCUACCAUCAGGAUAGAUCUGCCCUCUUCCUCGGUUUCCCCGUACAUAUAUGGGAUAUUUUAAGAAAUGAGCAUCUUUCUUCGUAGCAGGAUCAGGGGAAAGAAUGGGAAAGACAAUUUCACUAUAUUUCUUACCGGGAACAGGGCCUAUCACAAGAAUAUUUUUUUUAUCGGGACGAUAACUCUGAAAAGAGAGAUUUUCCUAUCUUUUCUUUCAACUCAGGGGAAAUACGGUCGGGCGGCGCUAAUUCGAAUCCCUCGGGCAAAAUAAGAACAGCACCCACAUUUAACCCUCCCUUUUUCCCAUUAGCAAGAACUUGUUUCAGUUGCAUAUCAUAAGGAAUUCGGAGAACUGCUUCAAAUACAGUAUCGGGAAGCACAGCUUGGGGAACUUCAAUAUCCACGGGCUUGCUAGCUAAAUGGCAAUUGGCGCAUACAAUUCGUCCAGUUGCUUCUCGUGGGUUUUCAUAACCCUGCUGCACAAAAAUGGGAUAUGCAUUUGAAAUAGAUGUCCGAGUUAUUACGUAUAUCAUGAUCGAUACAAAAAUCGAUUGAGUCAUCUGUUCCUUUACCCAAGAAAAAGUAUUUCUAUUUUCCAUGUCCAAUCGCAAAUCCCAGAAUUUCUACAAGAAAUUAGAUAGGUAGCUAAGCUAAUCUAGUUCCCUAUACACGAGUCUAUUGUCAUUCUACUGCAACAGUUGUACCGGAAUGAUGAAUACCUUUAAGCAGGUAGAACUAGAAAGAAUUUUGCUAAAAUGGAAAGGGGCCUUUUUCUAAAGAAAGAAAGAUGCUAAUUUGAUUAAUAUCAGGAGAUCAAAUGAAUUUAUGCUUCACUAAUUGAAUGAUAAAUGACUACAAGCGAAGGGGAUAGACGGUUUAAACAAAAAAAGACCCAAAAUUUCAAACAUGUAUCUAAAAUUACUGGAAAACUACAAACAAAAAUAGUAAAAAUUAGCUCGUUAGGAGCCCAUCCAAGAUCGUUGUAGACCCAACGAAUUACUAGUUCCCAACCCCGGGUGGAGUGAAAUCCAACAAAAAAAUCAGUAACCAAAAGGAUAAAAAAAGCUUUUAUUGAGUCAUUUAAGUUAUGGAAGAAUUCCUGAACCCAAGAAUUCCAAAUGACAAGUUCCUCUUUACCAAAAAAAAAAGAACUACUUAGAAUAGCCAAACAGAUUAUAUUUGUCGAGAAAUGCAAAAUGAUAUGGAGAUGAUCUUCAUUAUCUAUUUUGACCAAUUGUAUUAUUUCCUUGUGUAUUCCUAUAGGAGGUUUUUGUACAUGUGUCUUUGGUUUCUCUUUUAUCAUCUCGUCCAAGAGAGAAAGUUCUUCUAAUUCUAUGAAUCUUUCUAGAAUCCUUUUCUCUUGAAUAUCAGUUAAGAGAGUUUCAGAUUGUCUGGUAUUCCACCAAUUCUUAAUCCAAAGUUCCAGACAUUUGUUAACUGAGAAAGAGGCCCCCCAGGGCAAAAGUACGAUAAAUACAAGAUAUAGUAAAGAAGGCAAUGCUUUCUUUUUUUUCAUUUUUGAUCUAUAAAUUGAGUUGUUAAUGAAUCCGCUUCAUUCGCUGACUCUAUGAUGAUAUUUUUUUCUUUGAAGCAAAAACUCUAUAGCAAGGUUUGAGACCCUGUAUUUAUUCUUCUUUUUUGUAUUGUAUAUUAGUGGAAUUUCAUUGCAUUGGGUUCUUUCUUAUAUCUAGAUGGAGUGGAAUAGAAAAAAAGAUGAAAAUGGAAAGAAUAGUAUGCCAUAUAUCCCACUUGGGCAAAAUAAAUUUAAAGCAAUUUUAUCUUAUCCUCGUUUGUUCCUUCCUUUAGAUAAAUACUAAAAAAGCCCCUUACAAUACAAUAACAAAUCAAAUUUCGGAGGGACUUCCUCCCCAUGUUGAGAAAACUUUUCUUCUUCCAAUUCU